UACAGAGGGGGCUAGCGUUGUUCGGAAUUACUGGGCGUAAAGGGUGCGUAGGCGGCCCUGUAAGUCAGUGCUGAAAUAUCCCGGCUUAACCGGGAGGGUGGCAUUGAUACUGCGGGGCUAGAGUACAGAUGAGGUAGGCGGAAUUGACGGUGUAGCGGUGAAAUGCUUAGAUAUCGUCAAGAACACCUAUAGCGAAGGCAGCUUACUAGGCUGUAACUGACGCCGAGACGCGAAAGCGUGGGGAGCGAACAGG
rnacentral:rRNA from 1 species